UACGGGGGGGCAAGCGUUGUUCGGAAUUACUGGGCGUAAAGGGCUCGUAGGCGGCCAACUAAGUCAGACGUGAAAUCCCUCGGCUUAACCGGGGAACUGCGUCUGAUACUGGAUGGCUUGAGAUUGGGGAGAGGGAUGCGGAAUUCCAGGUGUAGCGGUGAAAUGCGUAGAUAUCUGGAGGAACACCGGUGGCGAAGGCGGCAUCCUGGACCAACACUGACGCUGAGGAGCGAAAGCCAGGGGGAGCAAAACGGG
rnacentral:rRNA from 1 species